CAUCCGAAACGGGUCAGAAAGUAAAUCUUGGAUCAGAUUACGGCAUCACAUCCAAUCAUGCAUGUUUUAUAGUAUUUGUUUAAAACACAAGUGCUUGGGUUAGCUAGGCAGCGUCGAUCUUAAAGUGCUAGUAGCUCUUGGGUCGGGUGUUGCAAUCCAUUGAAUGUCUUAAUUAAGUGGCUUAUUAUUCUUUAUUCGUUCUAUAAUCGUCUGCACGCCCAGCAACCUGUUAGCAUUUGAAUAUCUGCUGUCUGUGUGCAUAGUGCUGCGCGUUCUUUUCUUCUUUUCUUUGUAAACAAGUUAUAUUCAUAUAUUCACUGUUGUGGAAUUAACUAACCACACACAAUCAAUCACACCAUGCAGCAGCGCACCCGGGGACUUUAUUUGGCAUACAAUCCAAUAAUUUCCUCGAGGAGGAGUGCUUGCUAUUAACGUCAUUAAUUGUGGCUCUCAUUGAUGGUCUCCUCCUCAAUAAUAUAUGAAUAUCCCAAGAACCAAAAACAAUAAUGAAUACUUCUUCUUGUGUAUUGGCCAUACACAAGUAGUUUCUUCCCUGUCGUCGGACCAACGAUUGGUCCCUUCAAACUCAAAAUCUUCUUGGUUGGAACCUCGAGAACGUACGUGGGUCUUUUCAAUUCCCAUGAUUUCUGCUCCUCAGUCCUCACCAUAUGGACUUGAAAUGGUAUAUGCAGUGCAGUCAUACGGAAGUGAUCAGUGACAAGCAAGUUUCAAAUCAAUUAAAGGGAUCAAUGACUGUAGAGCGUUUUGUUUUGUUAGGAAGCAUAAGGAAAUCGAAAUACAGCUAAAACUCUUUCAAUCCGGCUCGGGGGAGCACUUUAGUUUUGAACAUUCAGCUGGUACAAACCAAAACGAUCGAGAUACAUUCACUGGCUCGGGGGAACUGCAGGAGGAGAGAUAAAAAAAGGUUGGAUGCGUCUGAAACGCAAUCAAUAAUGGUGUACAGUGUUCGUGCUUUAGCUACCACCAUUCUCCACUAAGUCUUUGGAUGCUAGCUUACACACAGCAACAUGAACGGACAGGGGGGACUUCCUCCUUUUGAUUCAUUCAACAGCGGAAUCACAUGCCGCCUAUCGUCGUUGAGGUAAGAUUACAUGUACUUAUUAUAUACCUCCGCCCAAAAACACAAAAAGGAAAGUUCCGAAAAAAAAAAAAAUAAAUAAAUACACACCACCACCACUAGUAGUAGUACUUCUGAUGCAGCACUAGCAGUCAUUUGAUCCAGACGGCCAUAAUUUUUGGUUGUUUCCAGGCUGGGGCUGCAAAAGAUUCAUGCAUACCCGCGCGCGAGCGUUGGUGAGUUGACUUUAUUGAUCAUGUUUUGAUUAAUUUGAUGAGUUAAAUAUACGAAUACUCAGUUCAUUCGUAUCCGUAGGCACCACUUGUUUACUGACCCGAUGAGAAGAAGAGAUGCAACUCAUAUGUGUUUUUUGGUGUCACGCCAUGCAUCCGGCGGCUCAUCUUCGAACAAACGCCGGUUGGUUGACCGGUGAGACGUAGACCACACUCUCCAUCCCUGUGAGUGAAAAGGCUAGCAAGCACUACUACCGACAGCUAUUAAUUGUAUCGGUAUUCAUAAUUAUUUGUUGUGUUGUGACCUGUGACUUGUGAGAGCAGAGGGGAGAGUGGGUGUUUUGUUUUGGGGGCUAUGGAUUUAUUCUUGGGUUC